rnacentral:lncRNA from 1 species
AUUCUUAAGAGAUGCUUCGGCUAAACUCGCGCAAUUAUUGCAAUUGUAAUGUUGCUCGAGUUCUAGAGAACCGAAGUUGUUCUAAGUGCACCUCUACUGAGGGUUCUAGGACUUCGACUCGGUCACUUUUACCCUGAUCGUGGAGGAAGCAGGAGUGGUCGAAGGACCGUUUUGGAAUCGUUUUUAGGAAAGCUCGCGGCUAGGUAGAGUUAGGAGUAGGGUAGUGGCGGAACCGUUUGAAACCCUGAUACUCCAGGUGGCGACCGGCAUCAUCCGUAGCAGAGCGACCACUCCAACCGACAACCCAGCGCUUCUGGACUCCAUCAAGGGGUCAAAGUUCCGGGGUGAACCCCCAAGCAGCUCGUCCGUCAACAUACGAGCUGGGCGGCGUCCGUCAACACACGCCGCGGUCGAACCCUCGACAACCAACCGACCGGACCGGGACGGCCUCGUGGAGGCCUAGGUCCACCGCCAAGUUCCCGCGCGCACCCGCGCCGUCGUCGCAACCGACGCUAUCAUCGCAGCAUCCUAGCUGCACACCUGUGCGCCCCCGCACACCGGAAGUGAUGCUGAGCACCCGCCGAUAGUGCCAACCCGUCUGCUGUUAGCCGCCGGCGGAACCAUCUCGCCGUAGCCGAAGCUGUAAGCGCGCCACCACCUGAUCGCCGGAUCGCCAACCAACACACGUAAAUCCAUGGUCGUGUAAGUACAAACCCUUUUUCGACAUGCGCAUGAUCGAUCGUUGGCCAGUUCUUUUUCAGCCAACCCUGUGGGCAACAUAAGCCACCCCCAUGUUAUGUUGCGUGAUCGCAAGCCCCCAGUGAAUGAAUUAUAGCGACCCCGAAUGAAUUUCGCCCCCCAAGCCAACGCACACCCUAGCCAAGCAGUGCACUGCAAAUGAACAGGUAGAGAGACAGGAAAACUCGAGUGGUACCGAGGUACCGUGUAGGACUAACAUGCUGAAGAUCUGCGGAUCGAAUCUCGUAGGGCCCGAAGUAUUUUUUUGUAAUUAAAUAAAAU